UACGUAGGCAGCAAGCGUUGUUCGGAGUUACUGGGCGUAAAGGGUGCGUAGGCGGCCCUGUAAGUAUGGUGUGAAAUCUCCCGGCUUAACUGGGAGGGUGCGCUAUAGACUGCGGGGCUCGAGUGUGGGAGAGGAAAGUGGAAUUCCUGGUGUAGCGGUGAAAUGCGUAGAUAUCAGGGGGAACACCGGUGGUGUAAACGGCUUUCUGGACCAUAACUGACGCUGAGGCACGAAAGCGUGGGUAGCAAACAGG
rnacentral:rRNA from 1 species